rnacentral:lncRNA from 1 species
UUCUCCUUUGCUCUCUUUAUAGAAAUGAUUGUAUCAAUUUAAGAAUGUUAUUCUUCCACACUUAAGAAUUAGUUUCACAAGUUCCUCCAAAGGUUUGGCUAGAUAUUUCUUUGUUAUUACAUUUAAUGCACAGAUUAAUUUGUAGGGAAAUUUGUAGUGUUACAUUAUAAUGCUAAGUUGUCUCAUCCAUUAACUUAUCACUUGAUUUUCUUCAGGUCUUCUUUAAUUAACUUCUAACAGAAUUUUAAAUUUUGGCCCUAAAGGCUAUGUGCAUUCUCAGUGAGACUAAUUUCUAGAUAAUUUAUAGAUUUUUGUUUUAUGUAAAUGGUAUUGAAUUUUCUACUAUGUUUUAUUUAUUGAUUAAAGAUUGUGUAAAGUAGUGAUUCUCAGUCUACUUGAAAAUAAGUUAUUCGGGCAGCUUUUAAAAGAUAAGGAUGCUUCGAUCAUCUUCCUGAUCAAUUCAAUCAGAAUUGAGUCUACAUUAAAAAAAACAGUCACGGGAAUUAUUCAUGUUGAUCAGAAAUUGGCCAGAGAUAUAUUGCUCUCAAAUUGGGACGCUUCAUGAAUAGACUCAGCACUAAAAUUGAGAUUAAACUAGAAGACUUUAUACACAGUUGACCCUUGAACAGCACAACAGGACUGCAGUUGUGCACUUCUAUGUAGAUUCUGUUCAACAAAGCACCGAUGGAAAAUACAGCAUUUACAAGAUGAGAAACCCGAGUACACAGAGGAUCAAUCUUUGGUAUAACACGAGUUCCACAAGGCUAACUGUGGCAUUUGGGUAUGUAAGGAUUUUGUUAUACGCAAGGGACCUGACGCCAAUCCUGUACAUAUACCAAGGGAUGACUGUAUAAUCUAUUGUUUAUUACCUAAUCCCUUCACUUUUGAUACUCAGCGAGGUUAAGAAUGUCUUGUCCAAAACCACUUAGUUGAUAAUAAAGAGGCUAAAAACCCAAAUCCCUUACCCAACUACUAGAGCAGUACUUUUUCCUCUUUCUCAACCAUUCAGAGCUCACAUUGAAUGAUUUCAUAUUAUCCUGACUACUUGACAGUUCAGUUCUUCCUCUUCUAGGCAUUUGACCAAUUCCACCCAAUCCUGUUCCAUUUUUGUUUGAUGUGGGUGGAACAGGUGUAGGGGUAUCAAUGGCAGUUUACAGAACUCUCUCCCUUGAGAACAUUUUAAUGAUAUUAUAAAAAUUAAUUUACUUUAAAGUAUGAGCACAGUUAGCCCCAUGACAUUAAACUUUUUUAUUAAAAUAAAGUGUUUUAUUCAAGUCAAUUAAUUUUUGUAGCAUCAUUCAAAUUUUAUCAAGAAGUUAAUUCUUUAAAUAGUCAUCAGUACAACAUAUGGUGUAGUAAACAUUGGUUUAUUAAAAUAAAAUCUUUCAUUCAAUCCAAAUGGCCAAUUUCAUUAUGUUUAUCAUUAAUUAUUUGUGUUUCAGCAUUUGAGAAGUUGAAGAAUUAUGUAUGUAAAUAAGUUUUAUGUAGAAAAUAAUUUUAUGGAAAAUAAUUUUCACUUCAGGCACAUUAAGUCAAUAACUCAGUUACAAGUUUGCCUAUUGUAUUUCACACAAUCAUAUAUUUUAUUUAACAGUCAUUAUAGAAAAGGUAUUUUUCAGAGGGUGUAUUCAUAUUAGGGUGAAAUGUAUCUAGUUGUCAUUUUAUAGCAAGAUUAGCAAUUUCAACAAUAUUGAAUCUAACGUACACAUUAGUUGUAUAUCAUUCUCAAUGAUUUGAAUGUGCUAUGGUUCUAUAUACAUGCAUUUCUACUUGAACUUUCUCCAGUAAACAUAGAUUAUUAAUUCAACAAAUAUAAAUUGCAAUCAAUGGAAUGAAGCUUUGAAAAUGGCAAAUUGCCAGAUGAGAGUUUUUGACAGAACCAUGUAAGUUUUAAGAGAUAAAAAAUCAUUUAUAAAAAUAAUACAUAAUAUUCACCCUCCCUGGAUAACAUAGCUUUGCUUUUUUUAAGUAAAUGUAAGAAAAAAAUUAUUAAAAUAUUUUAAGCAAAAGUAAGGAUAUAAGUAAAAGAAGACUGGGUCAAAAAGAAGAAGUUGUGGGUAGAAGAGAAAAAUGAAAAAAAUAUAUACUUUACCAAAAAGUUCAGAAUUAUCACUGAGCAUAUUUAUGCCUAAGUAUUACAUAUAAUCUAUGAUUAGAAUCAGGAAACAAUGUUAUGUCAGACUUCCUGUAUUCACAAAAAUAUACCAAUUGGAAGAGUGACCAUGAAGACAUUCUUUUCUAAUGAUAGCUAAAACUACGGCUGAAAUUGACAAAUAAUCUUUAAAGACAGAAGCUUUUUUAUUAAAUGUUUCAUCUCAACAUUGGUAAUGUUAUUUUCCACUGAAAGAAUGUUCAUUUGUUCAGUGCCGCUACAAAAUAUCAUGAAAAUUAAAGCUAUGAUGUAAUAUUUUGAGUUUUUUAGCACCCCUAAAUUCAGUUUGGAGAGUACAUGUGUAUCCAAAAAUGCUGUUCCCAUUUUUAAAUUUGUGUUUUUCUAACAUUCCUAUAGUUGUUUUGGUAGUGACAUUGAUUGGAAUUAUCUCCAAACUGUUUUUUGUUGUUAUUUCUAGCAAUAAUAAAGAUAUGAUUUG